UACGUAGGGACCAAGCGUUGUUCGGAUUUACUGGGCGUAAAGGGCGCGUAGGCGGCAAUUCAAGUCAGCUGUGAAAUCUCCGGGCUUAACUCGGAACGGUCAGCUGAUACUGCUUUGCUAGAGUGCAGAAGGGCAAUCGGAAUUCUUGGUGUAGCGGUGAAAUGCGUAGAUAUCAAGAGGAACACCUGAGGUGAAGACGGGUUGCUGGGCUGACACUGACGCUGAGGCGACGAAAGCUAGGGUAGCAAACGG
rnacentral:rRNA from 1 species